rnacentral:rRNA from 1 species
CCAAGGAGUCUAACAUGUGUGCGAGUCGUAGGGAAUUGAAACCCAAAGGCGUAAUGAAAGUGAAGGUUGGCACAUGGUCGGCCGAGGCGGGAUCCGUUCGGGCUUACGGUUUGGCCGAGCCCGGCGGCGCACCGCCGGCCCGUCUCGACCGCAGCGUCGGUGAGGCGGAGCAAGAGCAUACACGUUGGGACCCGAAAGAUGGUGAACUAUGCCCGGGCAGGACGAAGCCAGAGGAAACUCUGGUGGAGGUCCGUAGCGAUUCUGACGUGCAAAUCGAUCGUCGGACCUGGGUAUAGGGGCGAAAGACUAAUCGAACCAUCUA